rnacentral:misc_RNA from 1 species
GAUGAAGAACGUAGCGAAAUGCGAUAAGUAAUGUGAAUUGCAGAAUUCAGUGAAUCAUCGAAUCUUUGAACGCACAUUGCGCCCGCCAGUAUUCUGGCGGGCAUGCCUGUCUGAGCGUCAUUUCAACCCUCAUGCCCCUAGGGCGUGGUGUUGGGGAUCGGCCAAAGCCCGCGAGGGACGGCCGGCCCCUAAAUCUAGUGGCGGACCCGUCGUGGCCUCCUCUGCGAAGUAGUGAUAUUCCGCAUCGGAGAGCGAUGAGCCCCUGCCGUUAAACCCCCAACUUUCCAAGGUUGACCUCAGAUCAGGUAGGAAUACCCGCUGAACUUAAGCAUAUCAAAAGCGAGGA